UCGAUGGUUGUUUACACAAUUGGAGCAAUUGUGAUUUUCUUUGUCCUCAUCCAUUCACCAAAUAACAACAGCCACCACCACCGCCUCUUGCUCCACCGUGAUGAAAGCCAAGAAUCGAACACUAACCAUUCACACACAUCUGAAGAGUGGGAUGAAAACUUAAAUGUAACUGACACGAUUGUCCGUAUAUUCCCUGACAUCGAUGUGGACCCCACAGAUCAGUAUGUGGACCUCCACGAGUUAACUGAAUGGAACUUCGAGCAAGUUCAAAGAGAAGUAUUGCAUCGAAGUCAGAGAGAAAUGAACAUUCACGACAAGAACCACGACGGUUAUCUUUCCUUCUCCGAAUACGGUCCUCCAGCGCCAGGUCCUCCUCUUUCAACUUUCACUCUACUUUUUUUCUUUCACCAUUUUUUUUUUGUAAAUCAGCUUUUUGGUUGAGUCUAAGUUGAGUAUGCGUUAUGAACUUCUCACCGUUAACUUUAACUGUUUUUAAAUCGAUUCUGUGGUGUUACCGGCGAAAAAACCCAAACACAUUUUAUUGUUACAAGAAAUCUGUAACAAUAGAUCCAGUAUCCACUCACCGGAAGCGCCACAAACCUCCGCGCCGGAGUUUCACUUCCUUCAUUUCACGCCGCCGUGAGAAAACUUUUUUGCCGCCGGCGAAUCUUCCUCCUCAAAUUCAGCAGUGACCGGAGAUCACACCACCAUACGCGAAACCUCGCUGUGGAGUUUUGAAUUGCGUUUCAGAAAUCUUAUUAUUUUCCUUCGUAAAUACGAAUGUUUUAAGCUUCCGUGGAUGAAACGGCCGCAACCGUUGACAAGGGGUUUUAGGUUUUUUUUUUUUUUAUUUUAUUUGUUGGGGUAAGUUUCACAAUUUUCGAUUUUUCAAAUUACUUUCUUUUUGAAUAAUAAAUUUGAAGAUUUUAUUUUUAUCUAAAAAAGGAAUUUUAUGAGUUAUUCUUUUACGAUAUGUAGUAUACCAAGCCCCACCUUCAUAGUGACCUUUAUAAAUUUGCAAUUUUGUUUCGAUAGUUACAGUUUAAUUUCAAAUCAUCGGUGUAGGUUAAUUAAAGAUGAUUUGGUGAAGUUGUAAUGUGAUCCAACCGAUCUUAGAUUGAUGGCCAAGAUUAAUCGCAUUUUUGUUUCUUGUGAACCUUUAUUCCUGUGUAUUGAAUUGAAUGCUGUAAAUNNNNNNNNNNNNNNNNNNNNNNNNNNNNNNNNNNNNNNNNNNNNNNNNNNNNNNNNNNNNNNNNNNNNNNNNNNNNNNNNNNNNNNNNNNNNNNNNNNNNNNNNNNNNNNNNNNNNNNNNNNNNNNNNNNNNNNNNNNNNNNNNNNNNNNNNNNNNNNNNNNNNNNNNNNNNNNNNNNNNNNNNNNNNNNNNNNNNNNNNNNNNNNNNNNNNNNNNNNNNAUAUUGGGCAUGUUUCUUUCAGAAUAACAUCUGUUUGUUUGGAAACCAAAAUUGGGGGAUGCCUCCAAGAAAUAUAAAUGAAUAACUCUUUUUACUUCUGUACAUAGAUGGUAAUUGAUUAUAGAGCUAUACGAGGUUCUUUUCUCUUACAUCCACAUGAUAUUAGACAAUAGCGUUUAAUGCAGGAGUAUCUAAGAGAAGUUUGGUAUAAUGUUUCAAUUGAAUGAUGCAACUGCUCAUUUAUGGAAGUUGGUAAAACUUUUUACUUAGGCAUCUUAGAUUCACACAAGAUACUUGCCAUCUGUGGGAUUGUUUGUUUGGCAUGUAUCUUGAAUGACAAAUCUUGUUACCGAGUACCAAAAACAAGCAUCUAGCUCAGUCAUUUAGCUUAUCAGGGAAUCCUAAACAUCUGAAUGAAGUGUUGCUGAAUAUGUUACUGUUUUUUGGUCUUUCUUUGUCAUCCUUUUUUCCCUAACCUUUUAGUAGCCUAAUAUAUCCUGAUUAAUGCUCAAGGUCAUCUUUAACAUUAUUAUAAUUGCAACUUGUGCUCUGAAGACUAGAUUUCUUGUGGUUGUCUAAAUCAGUGCAGCCUAUCAAGACUGAAGUUGAAUGUUUCAAAUUUUCAAUCCUCUGUUGGGAAAUCCCAGCUGAUUGUUUGUAAGGGAUGUAAAUUAAUGAUUAGUUUGCUUUUGAAAAUGAAUUUUGCUUUGCAUUCACUUGCCUGCUCUAGAAGAAGUUACUAUAUUGGACUAACUUUUUUAGAGACUUUGCUGAAUAUUUGAAAUGCAGACAAUAUUUGUGGUUGAUCUUAUUUUUCUGAAAGGGAUAGGAAAUCUUAACUUUAUAUGCAAUUAGCUUACUUGUAUAUAUUGCCUUAUUGUAUCCUUUUAUUUCCUUAUAGGGAAAGUGAUACGGACAGAGAUGGGAAGGUCAGUUUUAAAGAAUUCUUUUAUGGCCUUUUUGAUUCGGUAAGAUACUAUGAUGCGGAGAGUUACAAUGAUCUACAUCAAUCUGAUGACUCAACGGAUGCUUCAGCCAGAGCUUUGUUUUCUCAGCUUGACAAAGAUCACGACGGGUAUUCACCAUCUUUUUUUAUUCUUUUUCUUUUCCCACAAUUAUUCUACAUGAUUGGAAUCAAUAUUGUAGUUUCCUUAUAGUAUACUAUAAUUUACUUUUGGGUUUUCAUUUUGAAUCUGUGCAGGUCUUUGUCAGAUAAUGAGCUGCUGCCUAUAAUUGGGAAAUUGCAUCCAUCUGGGCAUUAUUAUGCAAAGAAACAAGCAGAAUAUUUAAUUUCAUUGGUAUAGAAUUUGAACAUUACAAUUAAAACUCUAAUUGUUGACAAAGGUGUCACAUUGCAAUUCAUAUUUUGCAAUGUAGAUGGCUAAAAUAGCUCAACAGGCACUGCAACAUCUGUUGGAUAACAAUAACAUCAUACAUUAGUUUCCUUAUUAACCUUUCUUUCUAUAAUGUUAUGGCAGGCGGAAGUUGACAAAGAUGGGCGCCUCAAUUUGACUGAGAUGAUUGAGAAUGCAUAUAUAUUCUAUGAUGUUAUUUUCUACGAUGAUGAAGUUGAAUAUGACGAUUCCCCUGACGAGUUCUUUUAAGUUUAUGUUAGGUAAGCACAGUUAUUUUGUUGUCUAUUUAAACCUACAUUCAGUGAUGAUUUUUCGAUGUAAUAUUUUGUGAUCAUCAAUUGCAGGAUGCACAUAAAAGUUUGGGGCAAUAUCACAGACAAAGAGUCAAUAUUUGAAGAACAUAAACAGAGUUAUAAAUUUACAUAGCAAGUUAAAUACAAAAUAUUAAAAUUAUACAGAUGAGCAGAAAAAAAAUCGGCUACGGUUUCUGUUUUUGUUUAAUAGAAGGUAAAUUUUAGGUUGUGUUUGAAAAAUUGUAGAUAAGAUAUCUAGAAUUUUUCAAAUGCAACCUAGACCUCAUCUUUUAGUAGAAAGAUAGUUCCGACUGCUAUAUAAGACUCUUGAAUGAUGUACACGGUGACCUUGCCACGUUGAUAUCUGAUUUGUGAAUUGUAAUAAUUUUACUUUUUAUAUAUCAUCACAGUUAUAGUUGAAAUGAAUUAAUUUUGCUUUAUAUAUAAUCACAGUUGCACGAGAUGCAGGUUACAUAUCUUUAAAUGAAUAUAUAACUCACCCGAAGUAAUUUUUCAAAAUUGGAAGAAAAUAGAAUAAUGGGACUGUGGGAGAGAAAAAAAGUCAGCCUUUUCUAAUUUUAAGAAUUAAUUUCAGUUUUUAGCUCACUAUAUUCUUAGAUAUAUUUUCUCUAUUUUUAAUUAUAAAAUUCAUUUUCCAUUAUUUUUUGUUUAAUAUAAAUAAAAAUUAAUUAAAAAAUAAUAUUUUAUCUUUAAUUUUCAAUCAAAUAAUAAAUUUUUUAAACUUGUUUUUACUAAUAUAUUUUGAAAUGAAAUAAUAGACAUUAACAAAUUUUAUAAAAAAAUAUCCACGAUCCAUUUAUCAGUAAAAAAUAUAAACAUCUGUUUCUGUUAUGUAAAAGUAAUAUUUUUUUUUUGACAAAGUUUUACUACAACUAUUUGUUUUAAUAUUAUAAAAUAUAUUGAAGAGUGUUAUAAUAAAUAAUAGAUAAAGUACAUACUUAGAUUCACCAAUUCAAAUAGAAGAUAUUCACUUUAAACCUUGAACUGCUUAAGCUAGUAGGUCUUUGAGUCCAGAAAUGUAGUAGACCACAGAGUUAACUUUUUAUUGACGAAUGAAUCAUACCACUAAAAAGGGUUAUGUUCAAUGUAUUUGACGACACCGACCUCCUAAAAUGCCAUGCUUUCCAAAUUAUUUUUUUUAAUUACUCUCUCCUUUAAAAUAUAAAUAAAAAAAAGUGAAUGUAUUUAGUUAAUUUUAUAUUUUGGGUUGAUAUAAGAUAUUUCCUUUUUAUUUAUAUUUUGAAUGAUUUAAGACUAAACACUUUCACAUUUUUAAUUAUAUUUUAAGCCAAAAAUAUUAAUGUUUAAUAACAAUUUAAUUUCUCUAAUAAGACAACACAAAACAUUACUAAAUAGACCACUUCAAUAACUUUAUAUUAUUAUAUUUUAAUAAUAUUUAUUUAUUUUAAUAUUUUUAUGAUUUAUUGUAUGAAAUUCAAGUAAAGUAAAAAAGAAGAUUGUACUUCUAUUGUCAGAAAAUGUAAAAUUAUUAUCCACAACAGAUGUGCAUAUUUAACUUUUGCUAAAUAGGUGAAUCACAUGCAAUUGUGAUUGUCUUUGGUUCGGUUGUGAAGACCGGUAGUACAAUUGUUUGACUAAUAUCAAGCGACCAUGUCAAUUGUUUGACAAAUAUCAAAAGGACAUGGAAAGUGUGACAGCUCUUUAGCACUAUUGGUUCUGUAUUCAAUUAGAAGAAGAAGAAAAACAAUAAUUAUACAUUUUAAAAAAAUAUUGAUUAAUUGUAUUUAAUUUUGUUAUGUUGUAAAAAAUUAAAUUUUUUAUACUAUCAAUACUUUUCAUUUAAUUUUGUAUCAGAAAUUGUUAUAUUAAAAAAUAUUUCAAUAAAUAGUUGUUGGUAAAAUUAACCUAGUGUAAAACUAACCUUAAGACUGUCAAUUGUCGGUUUCUUAAUUUUUUUUAAUAAUAUUUAUUAAUUCAGCGCAAUCUAUUUUUUAUUUUAUUUUAAACAUAAUUAAUAUUUUUUAUUUAUAAUAUUAUGUUUUAGUAUAUUAUUAUACAUCAUAUAUGCUUAUGUUUUUUUAUACUAUAAUAUGUUAUUUAACAUAAUAUAAAUUUAUAAUUAUAUAUUUAAUAAAAUUGGAUGAAAAAAACUUCAAUCCAAAUAACAUUAUUUAGAUCGGAGAAUAUCUUUUAGAAGAAAUCAUCCAAACUAAACUAAAUUCACUUGUUAUUUUCAAUCUGGUCAAGUGGUUUUUUUUACAUCAAAACUGAUUAAAAAAAUUGUACUACAGGCUCUUACGUUAAGGUGUGGUUAGAUUUUUAUCAAUUAACUAAUUUUUUACCGACGUACAAUUAGUUUUUUGACCGGACUAGCGUAUAAAACAUUAAAAUAAGGUAAAUAUAUAACAUAAUCACAAAAAUUAGUAUUCACAAAUAAUAAAUAUUUAAAACUAAUUGUAACACCGCUAGAACUUAUCACUUUGAUGCACUCCAUCUCGGUUAUAGCAAUCCCUGUUCCGUCUAUUAUAUUUUUAUACUAUGGAUAGUGAUAGAUUUUGAAGUAAAAUAUUGUAAAGUUUAAAUUUUAAAAAUUUAAAUAGAUAAUUUAAUGAAAAUCUACAUAUAUAAAUAUAUCAAUUUAUAUGAUGUAAUUCACCCGAUGUAUGUCAUCUGGUUAGAUUAAUACAUAUAAUAAAAAAAGAUGCACAUAUAACAUGUCACCUUAUACAUUAGAUUCAAAUAUACAUCUCAAUAACAAUAAAUCAACAAUCACAAUUCAACUUAUAAAAUACACCGAUUAUAGAAUUUACAAUUAUAACAACAUGCACUACAAUAUUUAUAUUAAUUAAGAUAUCUAUUAACAUAUGUAUGUCUAGUCAUAAUUUAUCACAAUUCGAUUAACAUGUAUCAAACCACACAAAUCACAAUUAUCUUAUAGACUUAUAUAAUUUGAUUUUUACAAUCAUAUCACAUUUAAUAGUUAUUUUAUUUUUAAUAUAAAUAUUUUUUUAUAUAAAUAUUUUUUCUUGUAAAAAAUAUUACAUGUCAAAUCACUAACUAUCAUAUUAUAUUCAUCCACGUAGAGUAAUUUGAAAUUGAAAUAGUAAAUUAAUUAAUGGAAGGAGAAAAAACAUUUCACUAUCACUUUCUUUAAUUUUUCAAACACAUAUUCUCUCAUUUCUCUCCAAACUCACACAUUCUUCUUUAUUUUUGAGCAACUUAGAAGCCUCUAAACACAAAACUGUCAACUACAAAGUUAUUUCACUAUUAGAGAUGAUUGCAAAUAAAUAAAGAUCAUUAGUUGAGGUAGUCAUUUCUCCCCUCUUUUCUCUCAAACCUGUAAGCAUGCAUAUAUAUAGGGGGAAAAUUAAUGUUUAUUUUAUAUGUUUUAAGCUUUAAUCUUGUUUGGUUAUCACUACUAUGGUUGUUAUUAAUGUUUAGAAAAUUAAGGGAACCAUUUUCAUAUGUAAGCAUGCAUAUAUAGGGGGAAAAUUUAUUUUUUAUUUUAUAUGUUUUUAGCUUUAAUCUUGCUUGUAUAUCACGACUAUGGUUGCUAUUAAUGUUUAGAAAAUUAAAAGAAACAUUUUUAACUUUUUUUUCUUCUAAAAAUAAAAAACCUAAGUAAGAGAGUAAAAUGAAAAGUUUUUAUUUAUUUAUUUAUUUUAUUUUAUUUUAUUUUAUUUUAUUUUUUUUACUUUUGUGCUUUGUUAAUAUUGAAAUUAGAGGAAUUAGUAACUUGAAUAACCUAGAGUGAAACCAAACCCCCAAAAAAUUUACUAAGACCAAAUUUAGUGUGUCAUAAUAUUAAAGCUUAAUUUUAGUAUGUGUUUGAGUAAUAUAAUAGAUUUUUUUCAAAUAAAUGAGUUUGAACUUACAAUAGAAAUUUUAUUAGAGUCGUUUAAGUCAAUAAAGUUAAGAAGACUUUUGUAAAUAUGUUUGGUUAUAAUAUUUAUUUAUUAAAAUGACAACUAGAUAUUAAGGUGUGUGGGAAUCAAAGUGAUGUAUCAUUUAAAAAAAACUCAAACUUGUAAAAUGAGGAUUUUAAAGUAAGAGAAAGAUUGAUAGAAAGAAAUUGAUUAGUUUUAUUGAGUAAUGCAACCUUGAAGUAAAAUUUAUAAUUCUCUAUGUUUAUAUGCAGUUAGCUCAUUGAAUCUCGAAAAUGAAUCGAGAUUGUUGACACUGAAAUUGCGGUGGCAAGAACUUUGAAUAUUUUAUGUUUGUUGUGUUAAUUUUUUUAAAGAAACUAGUAAAAUAUUUGUGCAUUCGCACGGGUGGCGCAUGUUUAUAUUCAUUUUAAGAUUGUUAUUCAUUGUCAAUGUAAUAUUUGAACUUUAGGAAAAUAUACUCAUUUAGCAUUAUAAUAAAUAUGCAUAAUUACUCAUGCGGUCCCUUAAAUUAAUUUCAGAUAACAAUUUAGUAUUUUAUUCUUUUUUCUUUCUGAUUUGGUUAUUUAUUUAAUUUUAAGUAAACAAUUUAAUCUUUUAUGUUUUAAAAUGUUAACAAUGUUAUCCCUUUUUACAAAAAUUUGAUCAAAAUUUUCAAACAAAACUCAUAAAAUUAAUUAUCAUCUUCAAUAUAAUACAAAUUUUAUCAAAUUUAUAACUCAAAUUUUUAAAUAAACUCAUAUUUUCAUUUUUUAUAUUUUUGAAUUUUUUGUAAUAAAAUUAAAUAAAUGACCAAAUCAGAAGGGAAAAAAAAGGACUGAAAUGUAAGUUAAGAGAUUGCAUGAUCAAUUGUGUCUAAUAAAUAUUAUUGAAAAUCGCAAAUAGUAUUCUUCUUGUGAUUUUUAUAUGUAUUAGUGGAAACUAUUUGUAUCUUGUUUUUUUAAUAUUUAUUCAUAACAAAUAUUUGUUUCCUAUAUUUUUAAUAUUUAUAAGCGACAAAUAUUUGUUAUGUGUUUUUUUUUAUGUAUCAUUGAACAAAUAUUUGUCUUGUGAUUUUUUAAAUUUAUCAUUAUUGAACAUUAUUCAUGUAUUUUUUUUUUUUUUGCAUUAGUUAUAGUUAUUUAUGGAUUAUGCUUUUUAAUAAUUAUCAAUGACAAAUAUUUAUUCCAUGUGUUUUAUGUUUGAAUGUCAAAUAUUUGUCUAUAUUUUUUUUAAAUUAUUAGUAACAAAUAUAUGUAUAUUUUUUUUUUAAUAUUUAUUAGUUACAAAUAUUUCUCAUGUGUUUUUUAUGCGUCAAUAAAAAAUAUUUAUUUCAUGUUUUUUAUGUAUCGAUGAAAAUAUUUAUCUUAUAUUUUUAUAUAUUUUGUAACAAAUAUAUGUCUUGUAUUUUUAUAUAAACUACUUUUUUAUUCUUUAUUAUUAUUAUUAUUGCUUUUUUUAUUUUUCCAUUAAUUGAAAUUAUAACACGUGUCAUGUAUUUUUUAUUCUCGAGUUAUAGAUAUUUAUUUAUUAUUUUUUAAUAGUUAUCAAUGACAAAUAUUUAUCUCGUAUUUUUUAUUUUUAAUGUCAAAUAUUUGUUUAUAUUUUUUUAAAAUUAUUAGAGACAAAUAUAUAUAUAUAUAUAUAUAUACCUUUUUUUUUAUUAGUUACUAAUAUUGUUUCUCCUACAUUUUCUAUGUGUCAAUGGCAAAUAUUUGUCUUGUGUUUUUUAUGCAUCAAUAAUAUAUAUAUCUCUUUCAUAUUUUUUAUACAUUGAUAACAUAUAUACAUAUCGUAUGUUUUUAUAAACUACUUUUUCUAUUUUUUGUCAUCUAUUUUAAAAUAUUUUUUUAAUAAAUUAGUAUUUCAUUUAUGUGAGAAAGAGAAAGUUAUUUAAUAAAGUUAGAGUUUGAUUAUUUUAAUUAAGAAUUACGACUACUAUUUUAAUAUUGAAAAAUGUUAUGUUGUUUCUUUCAGAAAAAUUAAGUGUUAUUGUUGGUGAAGUUAUGGAGGUAGGAAGAAAUUGUGACUUGUAGUUGUCACAGUUUUUUAUUUUUUUUUGCUGAGUGUUUUGUUUUUUUAGUGUUUUCACUGCAUUUUGACAGUUUUGUUUUUAUUUUUGUUUUUGUUUUUAAUAUAGUGUUUCUACUUCAUUUGUGUUUUAAGUAAAUUUUAUAAUUUUUUGUACUUAUGUAGUUAGUAUCUUUAGUCUAAAAAAUAAAUUGAGAUUGUUGAUACUGAAUUUUUUAGAAAAAGAUAGAAACAAAAAGAUCAUGAUAAAUUUUUUUAAAUAAGUUUUGAAAUAAAGUGGUAAAUGAAUUGACGUGGUUUGUUUUAACUCAAAAGUAUUUGAGUUGUAGAAAUUUUAUGAACUUUAAAGAAGUUAGAAAAAAAUACUAUUAUGAUUUUUAAUGGUGGUAUAAAUUAAAAUUUUCACUCGUUUUAAAUAUAAAACCAUAUUAGUUGUUGUUCUUCAUCAUUUAAGGUGUUUUAAACUAGAUUUGGAUUUUGAAUCUCUUUUGAAAGACUUUGAUGAAUAAAAUGAGUUUUAGUCGAGUUGUAUAUAUAUAGAAAGAGAAUUCAAAGUUUUGUUUUGAUAUUGGUUUUAAGUUGAUUUUGUGAUUGGGUGUUAAAAGUUUCAUCUAUGGGAUUUUUGGGAAAAUAAGCUUUCCGUAUUUAUAGUUAAAAUCAAAAGUUGUAGUCUUUAAUGCUAAACUCAAUUUCUACGAAGAGAUUUAACUUUAAAAAACAAAGUUUCAAACUUUAUAACUUUGAGAAUAGUUCAUAUUUUUUAUAAAAAAAAAAUAAGGGUUCAAGCUUUGUAUAUAAAAAAGGUUUGAAGAACACAUAUUCACUCUAUGAACGAAGUUUUAAUGUUAAGUUUUGAAGUUGAAUUUUUUUUUAUUUUUAUAGUAAAGAUGUCAACUUUAUGCGCAAAUUUGAGGUUGAAAAAACAUUUAGGUGUUUUGAAAAACAAUGAUUGAUUAUGAUUUUGGAUUUUGAUAUGUGACUUUAUUACUAGGAAUGAAUAUUUUAGUUGCAGACUUCAAAAAAAUUGUGAAUUUCGGAAAUAUUUGGUGUUGAUGAGAAUAGUUAGUAUAUUGAAACUCUUAGUAUUUGAGUUUCAAUAUUUGGUGUGUGAUUUAGAAUAGUUAGUAUAUUGAAACUCUUAGUAUUUGAGUUUUUUUUAUAUAAGAUUUCAUGGUACAAGCCUUCUACUAGUUUUUCAAAUAUUAAAAAUGUUGAAUUUUGUGAUGUUCAUUGAUGGUUUAAUCGAAAUUUCAAACCAUGUGAGUAUGUUUAUCUUUGAUUUUGUUAAGAAACUAUUUUGUCAUAAGUUGUUAAAGACAAAGAUUGGAGUUGAAUUUCAAUAAGUUUGAAAAAACAAUUUCGAGAUUUUCAAAGAGUGACAAGUAUUUUGAAAUUCGUUUUUGUCAAAGUAUUUAAACCAAAGUCUUUUUGAAGUUAGGGAACCUAAAGAAAGUCAAACCCUAAUUGAUUUGGAAAAUGGUUCCUUGGGUUUAUUUGGGUGUUGUUUUAGAAACUUGUAUUAAUUAAGUUAAUUGAUUGAUUUAAGGUACAAAGAAAUUGAGAGCUGACAUUGGAAUUGUCAUAUAGGUUAUGUUGGCGUAACAUAAGUUGAGAGCUAACGAUAUUAAAUAUGCUUGAAUAUAGAGUGUGUUUGUACGCAUCUUCUUUGUGUUAGUGGUGAAUAAAUGUGCACACGAUUGUUUAUUUAUUUGAUAUGAUUAUGUAUUCAUAACUAUUAACAUAUGUGUUAUAAAUUUUAUUGAUGAGAAUAUGUCUUGAGCAUGCUAUGUGAAUAAGUAUUAAAAAUUAUUAGUGUUUCCUGAGUAUUAAAAGGGGAGUCUUUUAAUAGUUGCAUGUAACUCAUGAGCUUCCCUGAUCAUGUUUUUGAUUUAAUUCCCAAACAUACAAUACAUAUGAAGUACUUGAUUGAUCUAAUGAUUUGAAUUUAGAAACAUUUCAGGCAAACAAGCAGACACUAUACACUUGGAACAAAAGCUUGGAACUCAAGGAAUCAACCAAAAUUGGAGAAUGUGCUUGAGAAAGAUGCAAAUAUGUAUAGUGUGAUUAGUUGUCAUAGUAGUUAUUUUAGUAGACUAAUCACUAUGGUUUCAUACUUAAGUUUUUGCCAAAGAAAGUAAAUCAAUCAACUGAUAAGUCAAUUGAUUAAUCAAUUGGGCAAUCGAUUGUCUGACUCAGAACAAAAGUUUUUACUAAGUAAAUCAAUUGGGAAAUCGAUUACUUAAAGGCUUUCAGUGAGAUCUGAGUUAUGGGCUUAAUCCAAUCAAUUGGACAAUCGAUUGGGACAUCAAUUGAGUAAUCGAUUUUGUGAUUCACAAAACCAACCACUUACUGAAUCAAUCGAUUGACAAAUCGACUGUGAAAAUGUUUUUCAUCAGGAAUGAGUUCUGUGAUCAACCAAAUUGAUUGGACAAUCAAUUGAAUUAUGUUUCUUAAACUGCCAGUUUUGUGGCAAUCGAUUAGAUAAUCGAUUAAAGUGAAUCAUUUAUCAGAAACACAUUGAAUAAUCGAUUGGCACAUUGAUUUUGACCAAAUGGUUGAGGUUCUGUAACAAGCACAAUCGAUUGGCAAAUCGAUUGAAGUAAAUGUCUGAGUCACUGUGACCAGCACAAUCGGUUGACGAAUCGAUUGAAGCUAAAUGUUUGAGUUACAUGAAGAAUUCAGCUCAUUGCCAAAUCGAUUAUGACUAUGAAUAUGCGUCGACUGAGCAAUCGAUUGUUUUGAUCUCGUUGUUUGAACAAAACACCUAUAAUCGAUUACUCAAUCGAUUCUGAUAUAAUCAUAGUAUCAGUUUCUGAUUUAUGUAUUAAAAGAGUCGAUUGGCAAAUCGAUUCAUGCUUAUAUUUUCAAGAUUCAAGAAAAACAAGACACGCGAAAAUCGAUUGGGCAAUCGAUUAAGCUGGUUUUAAACUUUUAUAAAAUCGAUUGAGCAAUCGGUUGUCUUGAUGUUUUUCUGAAUAUAUAUAAGCUGAUUCAAUCAACUUAUAAAAUAACCAAUACACUACACUUGAAACAAUUAUUCAUUACACGUUUUCAUAAUAAAGAAACCAGGAAAAACACUUUGAAAGAAAUAAUUGUUACCACACACAAAAUACUCAUUUGGCAAAUUCUUUUGUGUGAAAUUCAUAUUGUGAUUGAGUCAUCAUCAUUUUGUCCGCUUUUAUCUUUUCUGUAAAAACAAUCUGUAAAGAAAGUUCUGGAAAUCCAGUAGUGUAAACUGGUGACUAUCUUUGUUGGUGCGUGUGUUCAUCAAGAAGAAGUCUCAUCUUGAUCUCGUGAGGGUUUGGCGAGUAACUCUAGAGAUAAGGUGGCAUUGUAAUAGAAGCGAGUGAGUUGGAUAGAUAGGCCAUGUGUGAGCUGGACAAUCUGUAAAACGUACUCAAGUCAAUUCUAUUGGAAAGGCUGAAAUCUGGUUUAGAUUUCAGGACUGGAUGUAGGCUAUCAAACGGAUAGCCGAACCAGUAUAAAUCCUGGUGCAUGAUUUUCUUAUCCUUUCUCUUUAUUUUGAUAUUGCUUGAAUGCUUAUUCUUGAAUGUUUGUAUCAGCGAAUUUCUGUCUUGAUUAAUAUUUUGAAUAAGCAUUGUAUCUGUACUCAUAUAUUGAUAAUACUUGUAAUUGUGAAUCUUUGUUCCUAAAUAAAUUCCGCAACCGAUCAUUGUUAAUCUGAUUAAUAAUCUUGUAAAAAUAGUAGAGACUAUUCUCAUAUAUUUUUUAACAAAUAGAGGCCAUAAUUUCCUACAAUUGGCAUCAAGAGCCUGAUCUUUUUUAGACUACUAUCAUAAAAGAAAACGACCUCUGUAGAAUUUCUGGGAGAAGGUGCAUCCUUGGCUAGGCUCCUGCAUUUAAUAGAGCUGCCUACAUGUAUUGGAAAGAGAGGAUGUUAAUUAUUCUUGAAGCAUGUAGUCUUGAUAUUCUAGAAGCAGUAAUAGAUGGUCCCUAUGUGCCAACCAUAACUGGCACAGGUGAUUCAUCAAUCCCAAAGCCCAGAUCAGAUUGGUCUGAGGAUGACAAAAAAAAGGUUGGAUAUAAUGCUAAGGCUAAAAACAUUAUUACCUCUGCUUUAAGCGCUGACGAAUUUUUUAGGGUGUCUAACUGCAAAACUGCCAAGGAGAUGUGGGACACAUUACAACAAACGCAUGAAGGAACAACAGAUGUAAAAAGGGCCCGAAUCAACACUCUAAUCCAUGAGUAUGAGCUGUUCAACAUGAAGAAAGAGGAAUCUGUUAAUGAUAUGCAGACAAGAUUUACUCACAUAGUCAAUAAUCUAAAUGCUCUUGGUAAGGUGAUUGACAAUGAGCAACAAAUCAGCAAGGUGAUGAGAUGCUUGACUAGAGAGUGGCAGCCAAAAAUCACUGCCAUAGCAGAAUCAAAAGACCUUGGUAGCAUGUCAAUUGCCACACUAUUUGGAAAAUUAAGAGAGCAUGAGAUGGAACUGCAUAGACUGAGUGAGGCUGAACAGACUGACAGAAAAAGAAAAGGGUUGUCUCUUAAAGCCCAAGCACAUCAAACAAAGUCUGAACAAGAGAUCUGCACUGACGAUUCAAAUAGUGAGACUGAUGAAGAUUCAGAACUUGGAUUACUUUUCAAAAAAUUCAAAAAGUUUCUGAAAAAGAAGGAUAGCAAAUCAAGAAAACCCUCAAGUUCAAAGACACAUGACAACAAGAUAACCUGCUUUGAGUGUGGGAAGACAUGACAUAUAAAAUUUGAGUGCUUCCAAUUGCAAAACAUAAAUAAGACUUCAAAGGCUAAAGGCAAUCAACAACCUCCUAAGACCAGAAAAGCCUACAUAGCCUGGAACGAUAAUGAUGAAGAGUCAUCUGCAUCUUCAGAAGAAGAAGCUAAUCUUUGUCUAAUGGCCAACACAGAUUCAGAUUCCGAUAAUGAGGUAAGUUCUAAAUCCAAUCCUUCUUAUGAUGAAUUACAUGACGCAUUUAAUGAACUACAUGAUGAAUAUGUUAAUGUAAUCAAACAGUUAAUGAGCACUAAGAAACUGUUAGAAGAAAAGUGCAUGUUGUAUGAAGAGAUUAAGCUGAAACAUGAGUCUCUUAAAGACACAAAUGAAAAUCUGAAAAAGGAAACUUAUGCACUGAAAUGUGAUUUAGAAAAGUUCAAUAGUGGUAAAAACAAUUUAGAUAUGCUUCUUGGAAACCAAAGAAAUCUAAAUGAAAAAUCUGGACUUGGCUAUAGACAAAACAAGAAUGUUAAAAAGAAUCAGAAGUUUGUUCGAUCUAAGCAUAUGCAUGAUAUCUUCACUAAACCCAAUCAGAAUCCAUCCUCUGCUGUUUCAUGUCACUUUUGCUGUAAAAAUGGUCAUAUGUUUUUUAAUUGUAAACUGAAAAAACUGGCCAACAGAGGAUGGAAACAGAUUUGGAAAGUAAAGACACCAUUGUUUGAAACUAAUCCUCCAGGACCCAAUCUGAAUUGGGUACCUAAAACCAAAAUUUAAAUUACAUUUUGCAGAUAUGCUUGACAUCCAGGACUCAUUCAUGGUACCUAGACAGUGGAUGUUCCAAGCAUAUGACUGGAGACAAGUCAAAGUUCUUGUCUCUGAACUUAAAAGAUGGUGGAUUUGUUAAAUACGGUGACAAUAACAAAGGUAAGAUACUCGGUAUUGGAGACAUAGGGAACGAAUCGACUACGGUGAUUAAAGACGUUUUUUAUGUAAAGGAUUUAAAGCACAAUUUAAUUAGUAGAAGUCAACUCUGUGAUAAGGGAUUCCAGGUAUGCUUUACAUCUCAGUAUUGUAUAAUUGAGCACAAGGAGAAUAAAGACAUAAGGUUAGUAGGUGACAGAAUCAAUAACAUAUACAUGCUUGAUUUUAAUGCUUUGUCUACUAGUACUAUUUGCUGCUUAUUAUCCAAUUAUGAUGAAAACUGGUUAUGGCAUAAGAGACUGGCUCAUAUACAUAUGGACCGCAUGAACAAACUAGUUAGUAAACAGUUAGUUCUAGAACUCCCAAAUAAAAAGUUCACUAAGGAUAAGUUGUGUGAUUCCUGUGAAAAGAGUAAGCUAGUUAAGUCAUCCUUUCCCCCAAUAGAUUUAGUACAAACCAAUAGGGUUUUACAAUUGAUACAUAUGGACCUGUUUGGUCCAUCUCAAGUUAGAAGCUUUGGAGGAAACUUGUAUGGUUAUGUGUUAGUAGAUGAUUACUCUAGGUAUACUUGGACAUUUUUUCUGACUCACAAGAGUGAGGCCUUCUCUAUUUUCAAAAGAUUUGCAAAUUUAGUUCAAAAUGAGAAGAACAAGAAAAUAAUCUCCAUCAAGAGUGAUCAUGGUCGAGAAUUCCAAAAUGAUUCCUUUAAUACCUACUGUGAACAAAAUGGAAUUCACCAUAUAUACUCACCCCUAGAACUCCACAACAAAAUGGAGUUGUAGAAAGGAAGAAUAGGUACUAGCUAGAACUAUGAUUAAAGACUCAAAUCUUCUUAAGUAUUUAUGGGCUGAUGCUAUAAACACAGCCACACAUGUAGUGAACAGAGUUCUAAUAAGGCCAAUACUUAGAAAAACUCCCUAUGAGUUAUACAAGGUAGAAAACCAAAUAUCUCUUACUUUAGGGUCUUUGGAUGCAAGUGCUUUGUAUUAAACAAUGGCAAAGAACAUCUAGACAAGUUUGAUCCUAAGGCAGAUGAGGGUAUUUUUCUAGGUUAUUCCAAAUCUAGUAAGGCAUAUAGAAUCUACAAUAAAAGAACUAAAACUAUAGAUGAAUCUGUUCAUGUAAAAUUUGAUGAAAUGUUUGCUGAAAACUUGAACAACACUCCUCCUAUAGUUGGUGAUUAUUUGGAUGAUAUUGUAGAAUCUGAACCAAUAGAACCUAAUGAACCAGUACCUCCAAACAACAUUGAGUGUAUAGAACCUAUUAGGGAAGUUGACUUACCUAAGGAAUGGAAGUUUAACAAAGACCAUCCUAUUGACAACAUCAUAGGAGAGAUCUCUAAAGGAGUUACAACUAGAAAAACCCUUAGACACUUUUGCAACUUCACAGCCUUUGUAUCUCAAGUAGAACCCAAAAACAUAAAGGAAGCUCUUAUGGACCAUGACUGGAUAGUUGCCAUGCAAGAAGAGCUCAAUCAGUUUGAGAGAAACAAAUUGUGGAUUCUAGUCCCUAAACCAGAAGACAAACAUGUCAUAUGAACUAGAUGGGUGUUUAGAAACAAAAUGGAUGAGAAUAGGGUAAUUACUAGGAAUAAGGCUAGGCUAUUGGAAAAGGGUUACAACCAAGAGGAUGGCAUUGACUAUGAUGAAACCUAUGUCCCUGUAGCUAGACUAGAAGCCAUUAGAAUCCUGCUUGCUUAUGCAUGUAUAAUGGAUUUUAAACUAUAUCAAAUGGAUGUAAAAAGUGCCUUUCUAAAUGGAGACAUCCAAGAGGAAGUCUUUGUUAGUCAACCACCUGGCUUUGAAGAUCCUAUGUUCCCAAACCAUGUGUUCAAACUAACAAAAGUCAUCUAUGGGUUGAAACAAGUUCCAAGAGCUUGGUAUGAAAAGUUAAGCAAUUUCCUCAUACAAGAAAACUUUUUAAGAGGAAAUGUAGAUAAGACACUUUUUAUAAAAACAAAAGGAAAAGACAUUCUAUUGGUCCAAAUUUAUGUUGAUGACAUAAUCUUUGGAUCAACAAACAAUAUGCUUUGCAAAGAAUUUGAAAAUACAAUGAAAGGAAAAUUUGAAAUGUCCAUGAUGGGAGAAUUAACUUACUUCUUGGGAUUUCAAAUCAAGCAAAGCAAGAAUGGCAUUUUCCUAAGUCAAACCAAAUACUGUAAUGAUCUUUUAAAGAAGUUUGAUAAGUUUAAAUCCAUUGAUACACCCAUGAGUCAAGCUUGUCACUUAGAUAGAGAUGAGAAGGGAAAAUCUGUUGAUGUGACAAUGUUUAGAGGCAUGAUAGGAUCUUUACUAUACCUUACAUCUAGUAGACCAGACAUUAUGUUUAGUGUUUGCAUGUGUGCUAGAUAUCAAGUCAAUCCAAAAGAAUCCCAUCCAAGUGCAGUCAAAAGGAUUUUUAGAUAUCUUAUAGGAACCAAAAAUCUAGGUUUGUGGUAUCCUAAGGGAUCUACUUGCACUCUAGUUGGUUAUUCUGAUUCUGAUUUUGUUGGCUGCAAAUUGGACAGAAAAAGUACAUCUGGUACUUGCCAACUAUUAGGGAACUCUAGAGCCGUCAAAAAAGCCCCCAACUACAAUGCCCCCUUACUUUUUUUAUUUUAUUAUUAGGCCCCCUAUCAAAAUAAUCUUUUUAAGGGCCCUUUAAUUUCGGCCCAUUAUUUCAUAGGGCCUAAGGGAGGGGGCUCUAGGGGCCCAUAGGCCCCCAAUAUUUUGUUUAAUUUUAAGAUUUUUUUCUUGAAAAAAAAUUUAUAAAAAAAAAUAAAAAAAUUUUAUUGAAAAAAAAAUCAGAAACUUUUUAUCAAAAAAAAUCGAACAUUUUUUAUCCAAAAAAAGUCGGACAUUUUUUAUCGAAAAAAAUUGGAAAUUUUUUAUCAAAAAAAGUCGGACAUUUUUUAUUGAAAAAAAAUCGGAAAUUUUUUAUCGAAAAAAAGUCAGAAAAUUUUAUCGGAAAAUUUUGUAGAAAAAAAAAAUUAUCGGUGAAAAAAUUGAAAAACUUUAUUUCUAAAAAAGAAAAUUGAUUAUUUUUUUAAAAAAGUGGGCCUAUGGGCCUCCUAAGCCCACAAAUUUUUAGGGGGCCUUGUUUUUGGGGGCCUUUUAAAUUAUUAAUUUUUUUGGUCCCUUCAAAAUGUGGGCUGAGACCAAUAAUUAAGGGGCUUGUCAAAUUGACAGCUCUAGGGAACUCACUUGUAUCUUGGCAUAGCAAGAAACAAAAUAGUGUUGCAUUUUCAACAGCUGAAGCUGAAUAUGUAGCUGCUGGAAGCUGUUGUGCACAAAUUUUAUGGAUGCAACAACACCUUUCUGACUUUGGUGUUGAUCUAGGUAAUGUGCCUAUCAUGUGUGAUAAUACUAGUGCUAUAAAUAUCACUAAGAAUCCUGUCAUGCAUUCUAGAACCAAACAUAUAGAGAUUAUGCAUCACUUUAUUAGGGAUCAAUAUCAACAGGGUAAGAUCAAGCUUGAAUAUGUCAAUACAGCUGAUCAGUUGGCUGAUAUUUUCACCAAAGCCUUACCCAAUGACAGUUUCUUCUUUAUAAGAAUGAAACUUGGUAUUAUAGAUCUCAAUGAAAUCUGAUCCUUAUGACAAAAUCGAUUGAAACAUCGAUUAUCAUGUGACCAGAUAGGAAAACAACAUUACAAAAUCGAUUGUAUAAUCGAUUUAUGAUNNNNNNNNNNNNNNNNNNNNNNNNNNNNNNNNNNNNNNNNNNNNNNNNNNNNNNNNNNNNNNNNNNNNNNNNNNNNNNNNNNNNNNNNNNNNNNNNNNNNNNNNNNNNNNNNNNNNNNNCACUUUAUUAGGGAUCAAUAUCAACAGGGUAAGAUCAAGCUUGAAUAUGUCAAUACAGCUGAUCAGUUGGCUGAUAUUUUCACCAAAGCCUUACCCAAUGACAGUUUCUUCUUUAUAAGAAUGAAACUUGGUAUUAUAGAUCUCAAUGAAAUCUGAUCCUUAUGACAAAAUCGAUUGAAACAUCGAUUAUCAUGUGACCAGAUAGGAAAACAACAUUACAAAAUCGAUUGUAUAAUCGAUUUAUGGUGCACAGUGUUUUAAAUUGUCAAAAUUGAAAACACGAUAAUCGAUUGCAUAAUCGAUUUGUGAUACAUAGUGUCUUAUUUGUCUAUGUCACAAACACUAUACUCGAUUUCAUAAUCGAUUUAGCACAUCUCAGAAGUCAAAUUGUUGGAGUAUACAUCAACUCAAUCGAUUGAGAAAUCGAUGGAAGAUUUGGAAAAUCUUUUAAAGAAUCGAUUUGAUAAUCGAUUGUUUGGUUCUGACAUCCACAUAUUUGAGAAGUUUUCCAACCUCAAGCCCGAGCAUCGAUUGGGAAAUCGAUUGAAUCAGAUUUUUAAAACCUGCACUUAUAUGAAUCGAUUUGGAAAUCGAUGCUGAGAUAAGAAGAUUUCUGAACUUAUAAGGAAAUCGAUUUGGGCAUCGAUUUAUUAAACUAAAAGAUCAAUUACGAAAUCGAUUUACAAGACGACUGUUGGAGAAAAAUUAUAGCCAUCGGAAGUGGUUGUAACAGAUACAUUUCAUUUCACUCAAACAACGGUAACAUAAUCGAUUGGACAAUCGAUUCUGUGAACCCAGAUGUGAAAUAAAAUCGAUUGGGAAAUCGAUUCUGAACAGUUCUAUAUAAAUCCCUAAAUCGAUUUCUCAACCCACUUUCACCAUCAGUUCUUAUUUUCUCACCCAACUUCGAAUUUCUCUGUGUCUUAAUCCUUCUCAAUUAUCUCAAACAUCUUAUAUCUCCAAACUAUACAAUGGCAAGAGUAAAGCAAACUGCACCUCAAUCAUCUUCUUCUAAAUCAUUCUCCCUAGAUUCUUCUUCAACAUCUAGUGGAAGAACACCCUCCCCUCAACCUCCUUCACCACCUGCUAAAAGAGUCUCAAUACCUACUCAUAAGGUAUUAGCUAAAGACAAAGGGGAGGUUGUUGCAAUCACUCAAGAAACUACAAAAAAGAGGAAAGCUCCUCCAUCUGAGAAACUCAUGGGGGAUGCCAUGAAAGGAGCAACCCAGAAAAAGAAGAAGACUGUAUCUUCCCCCCAACCAAAGAAGGUUCAGCCUCCCAAAGGCAAACCAGAUGAAGAAAUUGCUCUCUCUUCUUCUUUCUUAAAAAGGAAAAUCCAAGAGGCUAAAACUCUGGACUUUACCUAUUUUGAUUCAAAUGGGUUUACUUUCCAAAAUCACUUGAGAUUUCAUGGAUUAUUGGAUUUCCUUUCCUGUUCUCUGGAAAUCUACCCAAGGCUGAUUAGAGCCUUCUACUCUACCUUCAAACUCACCAAUACUGGAUUCGAGGCUGAAGUCAAUGGUAAGAAAAUCUCAAUGACUUUUGAACAAUUCUCCAAGCUGUCAGGACUACCAUUCUUUGGAGCAGCUAUUGAUGGAAGAACAAGUCAUGAUUCAACUGAUGACGCUUGGGAAUCAUCAGUGGAUAGGCAUACGACAAUUCAGGACCUGAUGAUGGAAGGUUUUGUUGAGAAAGUAUCCCUUCCAACCGGCCAGAUGAAGGUCCAUCAUCGUAUGCUGAUGUAUGUGCUAACACGAAUCUUAGUACCUCGAUCUGGAAAUCACGCCGUUGUACAGAGGCUGGAUAUUAUCCUGCUUUGGGGCCUGUACAAGGAGCUCAAGAUGAGCUGGGCUUGGAUUGUGUUGAUGAACAUGGUUGAAUCAGCACAAGGCAAGCUGCUGCUUCCCUACCCCCAGUUAAUUACAAAGAUUAUGAGACACAUCAAGAUUUCAUGUGUCAAUGAAGAAUCAAUUAAGACCACUCUAACCUUUGGUGAAUCCAUUGUAAACCAGAUGCAAUUGAAAAGGAUCGAUGGCAUUUGGACAAGGAUACAACCAAGUGUUGAUCAAGCACAACCAAGUGUUGAACCAACUGAGCCAGCUGAAGCACAAUCUGAGCUUUUGGCUAAGCUACUGGAAUUGAUGGAAUCUCAGGCUGCCCAAAAUGCAAGGGUGGAAGCCUCUCUUAAGGAACUCCAAGCUACCUUAAAUUCAGUGGUUCAAGACGUUGCUGCCAUCCAAGAGCACUUGGGUCUCAAAAUGUCUUUUGAAGACAUUGUUGAAAUUGACAGGCAAGCAACUGAAGAACCAAAUCCUACCAAUCUAGAGAGUACUGAACCUCAUGGUGAGGAGACACUUGUUGAGGAUAAUACAUCAGUCUCUACCUCUCUCGUUGGUGAUAAUGAGGAGCAUUCCUAGUUUAGUUGAUUAGGAUUUUGUUUUUCUUUGUUGCUUUGUAAUAUUUCUUAUGAUUCUUUUUGAUUAAUCACUCUCUUGUAUUUCUUUUUGAAUUCAAUGACAAAAGGGGGAGAUUGAUAUCAAAUUUAACUUGUGAUAUUACAUUGGUGAUUGGUAUCAAAUUUAACUUGUGCUAUUGAUCAUGUAAUGCUCUGAUUAUUGCUCUGAUUAUGUGAUAUUGCUUUAACUUGUGAUAUCUGAUACAUAAUGCACACAGUUUCUGAUUUAAUGAAUGCUAAUAGCUUGUGCUUAUGUUGUUGAAAUGAAUCAUAAACUCUAAAAUUCAGGGGGAGAUUCUAAAAUAAUCUCAAGGUUAAAACUGUGUGUUUGUCAUUAAAUCAAAAAGGGGGAGUUUGUAAGUCAUGAGCUUCCCUGAUCAUGUUUUUGAUUUAAUUCUCAAACAUAAAUACAUAUGAAGUACUUGAUUGAUCUAAUGAUUUGAAUUGAGAAACAUUUCAGACAAACAAGCAGACACUAUACACUUGGAACAAAAGCUUGGAACUCAAGGAAUCAACCAAAAUUGGAGGAUUUGCUUGAGAUGCAAAUAUGUAUAGUGUGAUUAUUGUCAUAGUAGUUAUUUUAGUAGACUAAUAAUUAUGGUUUCAUACUUAAGUUUUUUCCAAAGAAAGUAAAUCAAUCAACUGAUAAGUCAAUUGAUGAAUCAAUUGGCCAAUCGAUUGUCUGACUCAGAACAAAAGUUUUUACUAAGUAAAUCGAUUGGGAAAUCGAUUACUUAAAGUCUUUCAGUGAGAUCUGAGUUAUGGGCUUAAUCCAAUCAAUUGGACAAUCGAUUGGGACAUCAAUUGAGUAAUCGAUUUUGUGAUUCACAGAACCAACCACUUACUGAAUCAAUCGAUUGGCAAAUCGACUGUGAAAAUGUUUUUCAUCAGAAGUGAGUUCUGUGAUCAACCAAAUCGAUUAGACAAUCAAUUGAAUUAUGUUUCUUAAAUUGCAAGUUUUGUGGCAAUCAAUUAGGUAAUCGAUUGAAGUUAAUCAUUUAUCAGAAACACAUUGAAUAAUCGAUUGGCACAUUGAUUUUGACCAAAUGGCCGAGGUUCUGUAACAAGCACAAUCGAUUGGCAAAUCGAUUGAAGUAAAUGUUUGAGUCACUGUGACCAGCACAAUCGGUUGACGAAUCGAUUGAAGCUAAAUGUUUGAGUUCCAGGAAGAAUUUCGCUCAUUGCCAAAUCGAUUAUGACUGUGAUUAUGAGUCGACUGAGCAAUCGAUUGUUUUGAUCUCGUUGUUUGAACAAAACACCUAUAAUCGAUUACUCAAUCGAUUUUGAUAUAAUCAUAGUAUCAUUUUCUGAUUUAUGUAUUAAAAGAAUCGAUUGGAAAAUCGAUUCAUGCUUAUAUUUUCAAGAUUCAAGAAAAACAAGACACACGAAAAUCGAUUGGGCAAUCGAUUAAGCUGAUUUUAAACUUUUAUAAAAUCAAUUGAGCAAUCGAUUGUCCUGAUGUUUUUCUGAAUAUAUAUAAGUUGAUUCAAUCACUUUAUAAAAAACAAUACACAACACUUUAAAAAAAUUUUUUCAUUACACGUUUUCACAAUAGAGAAACCAGGAAAAACACUUUGAAAGAAAUAAUUGUUACCACACACAAAAUACUCAUUUGGCAAAUUCUUUUGUGUGAAAUUCAUAUUGUGAUUGAGUCGUCAUCAUUUUGUCCGCUUUUAUCUUUUCUGUAAAAACAAUCUGUAAAGAAAGUUCUGGAAAUCCAGUAGUGUAAACUAGUGACUAUCUUAGUUGGUGUGUGUGAUCAUCAAGAAGAAGUCUCAUCUUGAUCUUGUGAGAGUUUGGCGAGUAACUCCAGGGAUAAGGUGGUAUUGUAAUAGAAGCGAGUGAGUUGGAUAGAUAGGCCAUGUGUGAGCUGGACAAUCUGUAAAACGUACUCAAGUCAAUUCUAUUGGAAAGGCUGAAAUCUGGUUUAGAUUUCAGGACUGGAUGUAGGCUAUCAAAUAGAUAGCCAAACCAGUAUAAAUCCUGGUGCAUGAUUUUCUUAUCCUUUCUCUUUAUUUUGAUAUUGCUUGAAUGCUUAUUCUUGAAUGUUUGUAUCAGUGAAUUUCUGUCUUGAUUAUUAUUCUGAAUAAGCAUUGUAUUUGUACUCAUAUAUUGAUAAUACUUGCAAUUGUGAAUCUUUGUUCCUAAAUAAAUUCCGCAACCGAUCAUUGUUAAUUUGAUUAAUAAUCUUGUAAAUAUAGUAGAGACUAUUCUCAUAUAUUUUUUAACAAAUAGAUGCCAUAAUUUCCUACAGCAUUUACAUAAUGAUUAAUGUGAAAAAGUCAAAGUAUGCUCAUGCAUUUCAUAGUUAGUGGUGACUGUGAUGGACCAUAGGGUGGUUCUGUGAGUUGAUUGAUCCACCUUAUCUUUACAAGGAUUUUGGAGUCUUGUAGGUUUAUGAUAUAUCGCACGCUGGUAAAUCGUGUUGAUAUUUGUGAUAGUGGCACCUUGAUAAUUAGUAUUAAUCUGUGAGAGACAAUAUACUUAUGAUUAAUGCGUCUCAAGGAGGGUGUGAAAAUUAUGGAAUCAUGUGCAUUGUCAUAUAAGCAUUGAAUUAUGGUGUUUUGUCACAUGCCAAUAUAUGUGUUCAUGCUUUGCGUUUUUGUAUAUAUGUUGACCUUAUACUAUUAUUGUGGAUCGAGCUUAUGCCUCAGAUUCUUAGAGUUUUGAGUCGUACGAGAACUGCAAUGACGUCAAAACGUGAUAAAACGAUGAUUUGGAUUGGCGAUCAUAACAAUUACAUUUGAUUUCACUCGUGGGUUCUUAGUACUCAAUAAUCAUCAGUUAGAGUUCAAUACCAGCUUAUCGUUUUAUUUAAGGAUUUUAUUUAUUCUCUCUUCCUUAUUGCAGUGUUGUUGUCGCAAUGAAAUUUAUAUAUAUGAAGUUAUUGUGAUUUUUUUUUGUCAAUGUGAAUUGUUCGAUUGUAAAUGAGUUUGUUGUGUCGAAAUCAUUUUAUAUAAUACAACAAUGAUUCUAAUUGUCAUUUUUUAGAAGAAAAAAAUUACAAUUAAGUAUUUUAUUAUGAUUUAAAUUAAAGGACAAUUAUAAAUAUUUUAUCCAAAAGCAUUUAGUUGUUUUUUUUUUCUAAGAAUUACACUCUUGUUAAAAAACGAGGUAUUACAUGAACCCUAACUUUGAUGAAGAAGAUGAAGACCACCGUGAAUCUGCAACAAUGGUGAAUGAGGAAAACCUAAUUUUGUUCUCUCAUGGUCCUUUUUAUAUUGUUGAAUGAGUUAUACCACAUAGAAGUCGGCGUUUCAUAAUUAAAACGGAUAGAAAAUGAAUAUAUUGACUAACGGAGACCUAGUUACGAGACCAAAACGGAAUGAAAAUUAAUUAAGAGACCAAAAUGAAACUAAUAAAUAAGUUAGAGGACUAAAAGACGAAUUUAACACAUUUUUAUAUAGAUGAGAGGUAUGUGUAAGGAAUACAAAGAAAUGUAGCAAAAAAAUGUCGUAGAAAUCAAGAAAUAUUAUUCUUUCUCUUUGAUAAUAAAUGUCAUAUUUAUUAAUUAAUUUAUUCAUAUUAAAAUAUAAUUAUAAAAAAAUAAUUUUAUCAAUUUAUUCAUUCACGUGUUUUUCACUAUCAUAAAUAUAAAAUAAAAUAUAAUACUUAAAAAUAAUAUUCAUAAUGUUAAUUAAAUGUACAAUUAAAAAAUAAAUUAUAUUGAAAAUUAAAAAUAACAUAUAUUUUAAAAUAACAUUAUUUUAUUAAAAUAACCAUCAUGUUAUUUAUUUUUGUUUGACAAUUUACUCCUUCUAUCUCACAAUGAAUGUAAUUCUAAUAAAAACAAUUGCUUUAAAAUAAAUAUUAUUUUAAAUUUUAAAUUUUUAAUAUAAUUUUAAUUUUGUUUAUAUUACUGUUCAAUAAUUACUAUGUACAUAGUUUAUAAAAUAUUAUUGAAUUUUAAAUUAAUAAUAACAAAAAUUAACUAAUUGUUAAAAUAAGUAGUUUAAUAAAAUUAACUUUUGUCUUUGUAAUUUUUAUUAUUAUAUUUUUUAAUAUAUAUACAAAAACUUUAAAGGAGAUUUAUUGUAAAUGGUAAGACUGAUGGUACCAAGAGGCAUCUCAAGGGAACACCCACAAUCUUCAUGCCUCUUGGUACCAUCAGUCUUACAGGUAUUUUUAAAUUUUAUUUGUUUGUUUUAGAAAAUAUUAUUUACUAGUUUAUGUGAUUUAUUUUAAUUUGUAUUAUUUAAUUUAUUUGUAGAGUUGAGUCUGCUCAUUGGAGAUUGAAAAACAUGCUGCAAACUAGUUUUGGUGAUUUGUGUAAAAGUUGGGAUGUUGUGAAUAUGAUGUUGAAGAACCAAAUAUGUAUCAUUCAGUCUUCUUUUCAGAAAACCAUCAAGGAUGUUGAGCACGGGUAUAAUUCAUAAUUCUUUCAAAGUCUGCAUCAUUGUGUAUCAAGGAAAUGUUUAAAAAAAAUUGACAAACAGUUGCAGAGAGUGAAGAUUGUAGGUACUGACAAAACAAUAUGUGGUUGCUCAAUCAGAACAACUCAUGGAUUACCAUGUGCUUGUGAGUUGGCAAAGUUGCAGAUAUUUGAUAAUGUUAUCCCUUUAGAUAGCAUUCAUGUUUUUUGGAGAAAGUUAAGCCUUGAGAAUGAAUUGGAGGAUGAAGAAUCUUUAUCAGAUUAUGACUUUUUAGAAGAGUUAGAAGCAAUGAAAGUGUACAUGAAGAAACACGAUAUUGUAAGUCAAAGGAUAUUCAGGGCUAAGGUGUGUGAAGUUGUAUUUCCACAUACAACAUCAAUACUUGCAGCACCAGAGAAGGUUCGAACCAAGGGAGCAAGCAAAAAGAAAAAAUAAUUUGAUACUCCUCGUGAUCCUUCAUAUUGGGAGUAUGUUGAUGCCUCUCAAGAAUCUGCAAAGCAACCAUCUCAACGUUUUGCAAGGCAACCAUCUCAUUCAUCACAGUAUUCUGCAAAACAACCAUUUUACACACAUUUUUCUACUCUUAUACAUCCGUAUAUUGAGGAGAUAAUAGAUGUGGUGGUUGAUGGAAAUUGUGGGUUUCGCGCAAUUGCAGCAUUGUUAGGAUGAACUGAAGAAUUUUGGCCUUUAGUUCGAACACAAUUGGAUAAAUAGAUUCUUCUACAUCAAGACCUUUAUGCCAAUGUGUUCGAUGACAGUGUUGAAUCAGUGCGAAACUCAUUGAAAAUAUCAGGAUUGGGUGCUCAAGGACAAGAUAAGUGGAUGUGUUUACCAGACUUGGGUUACAUGAUAGCAACAAUAUAUAAUGUCAUAUUGGUGUCGUUGUCUCGUAAUCUGAAAUGAAUAUUAUAAUUUAAUAUAUUGUAUUUCAUUACGUUUUAUCAUUUACGUUUCAAAAUAUAAAAACACAUUGGAUAACACAUUCGAUAAUCUCAAAAUAAUCGAUUAAAUAUUCAGGCAUACAUAGCACAAUAACUAAUCGUCAUACAAGCGACAUAAUUCACUUAAUAUGUCAUGAAUCUCACUAAAUGGUGUUACCAUAUCUAAGGCCCUAUGUGCAAGCUCAGCUGCUCUACGGUCUCUACCAGUAUGUGCAGAAGAUGAUGGACCAGCAUGUGCAACAACAGUAGUAUGUAGACUCGAAGGUGCAACAGUGGAUGGAGGGAGAAUCAGAGGAUGUGAAACACUAACGUGCCAUGCAUAGUAGUCUGCAGUGACCUCUUCAAGAAAAGUCGCAACAGGAUAUAUUCUCCGAAAGGUCUCUACAGAUGAUCUCAUAGUAUUCUGCCAUACCGAAUCUAUACUAUUCGGCAUCGGAGGAACGUCACGCAGAAUGCAUUGAAUACGACCAAACUGUCGAAGACAUCGCUCUGGCAAAUAUGGGACUGAGACUCCACCACAUCGAAGAUAUCCAAAAAACAUCGAAAUCGAUACAAACGGAUGAUUAGCUCGAUCAUCAUCAUAUGGUGUAAACACUACAUCCUCGAGCAACAACACAUCAAGUCUCCGACGAUAUGCUAACAAUCCACCUUCAACAACAUGUUUUGCAGUCCACCUAGAUGCUCUUGGAAGAUGCGCAGGAACCGCUCCUCUAUCACCUCGCUUACAGAUUCUAGGGAAGUGCUCGUAAAUCCAACACUGCAACAUAAUUAACAUAAUAAAAUAACACAAUGUAAUAAUUAAAUUAAUAAUUAAAUAAAUAAAUGACACAACUUAAUAUAAAUGAUAUACCUGUAGUAGGGUCAUGUAACCUUCCACAUGUCGAGUGUCGUGGACAGCUCCAUCUCCCAGGUUGUCAUAAAGGAAAACCAAUGUUGCGGAAGCCCACGAGUAGUCCCGACAACGAUGUAAAUCAAUAAAAAGAGUAAUGUAUUUUGCCUCAACACGCGUAUGUGUUUUAUCAGCGAAAAUAGUGCAGCCAACUAAAUACAACAGAUACGUUCUAGCCGCACACUCAAACUGGUUAGUUUGAAUGAGACGACUAUAUAAAUCACGCAACCAUUGCAAUCUAUAUGAGCACACUUGUUAUAACUAAUCUCAAUACAUGCUUCCUCCCAUGUUGCACCUAAGUACUCAUGUGCAGCUCUUGCAGCAUUAUUAGUAUUCAUAUUCAAAGGUGCAUCAAAAAUUUUACCAUGUGGUGAGAUGUGAAGGAGAGUCGCAACGUCGUCUAAAGUGAUAGUCAUCUCUCCAAAUGGCAGAUGAAAUGAGCUGGUCUCUCUGUGCCAUUUUCAACAAAUGCGGAUAUCAGACCAGCAUUAGCCAUAGUGAGGUAACCUGAAUAUAGAUGCAUCAGCCCAGAUUCUUGAAUCCAAUGCUCUACAGGAGCUGGUAUAGGAACUUCGGCAAACUUCUUCAGUUUCAAUCCGUGAGAAAUAACUUUUAAUGAUCCACGAUCCUGUGAAUAAUAAACAUAAAUAAACAAUUAAUUAAACAUAUAUAUAAUAAACUUAAAAAUAAAUAUAAUUAAACAUUUAUAUAAAUAUACAAUUAAUUAAAUUAACAUAAACUUAAACAUUAAUAUAAUUAAACAUAUAUAUAAAUAUACAAUUAAUUUAAUAAACUUAAACAUAAAUAAACAAAUAAUUAAACAUAUAUAUAAAUAUACAAUUAAUUAAUUAAACUUAAAAAUAAAUAUAAUUAAACAUUUAUAUUAAUAUAUAAUUAAUUAAUUAAAGUUAAACAUAAAUAUAAAUAUACAAUUAAUUAAAUAAACUUAAACAUAAAUAAACAAAUAAUUAAAUAUAAAAAUAAAUUAACAUAUAUAUAUCCUUCCCAUAGCCUCCAAGCCACGUGAUGCUCAUAUUCUGUCAACACACAUGUCACCGUCGAUCCUCUGGGAAAUCUGGUCUGCUGAUCCUGAUCAUCAAUAUCAACAACAUCAUCCGACUCAUCAACAUCAUCAGAAGUAUCAUGAAUAUCGUCAGCGGCCUGCUCCAUCUGUGGAGGCUGAGGGACAUACUCCUCCAUAUGUGCAUGCUCAGUGGACUCAACAUCAUCAUCUUGGACCUCCUCUUGUCUUCGACGACGCUGCCUAAUUGGACGAUUUGCUUUGUUACGUCGUCUGUUUGAUGCUGUUGGUGGAAUUCUCUCUACACCAUUAUCUCUGUCACCUAUGAAAUUGCGAAUAAUUUGGCCAAACGCACCUCUCAUUCUAGGCACUGCAAUAUAUAAAAAACCCAAAAAACCAUUUUGAAACUUUCAUUGGAUAUGAAACUUUCGAAACUUGUUUUUCGCAACUUUCAGAAUGUUCGAAGAUUUUAUGUUUCGGAACUUUCGUAUUGUUCAAAACUUUCGCAAGUUUGCACUUCGAAACUUUCAAGUUUAACGAAACUUUCGAAAGUUUUGUACUUCGAAAGUUUAAAGUUUAACGAAAGUUUCAAAUGUUUGAAAAUUUCUGAAAAAAAUAUGUUUCGAGACUUUCAUAUUCAACGAAAGUUUUGAAAUUUGUCUUACUUUUUCACUUCGGAUGUUUGAAAAAUUCGAACUUUUGGUAGGGUGGGAGGAUCGAAUAUUUCAGAGUUUCGAAGAAAUGUGUGAAAAAAGGAAAGUGUGUUUUUUUUAGGUUUUUAUAGAUGAAAUAAGGGGCAUUAUUGUCUUUUCCUUAUGGUUGGGGGGUGGGAGGUAAAAGAGAGGGGUACACAGUACAAUUCUCUAUUCCCUUUUUUGUUUUUUUGUUUUUGUUAUGUGGGUGGCAUUUUUGGUUGUUGGUCUUAUGUGGUGGCUCCUUUUUCUUCAAAGUUGGCUUUUGUACUCCACAAUUAAUCUCAUACCUUCUCAAAUUGUUAAAAAUCUAAAAUUGUUUUUAAAAUUUUCAUUUACUGAAUAGUAAAAAAAAUUACUUUAAAAAUUCAUCCCCUCAACAAAAUUUUCGGUACUUAAAUUUUUUCCAUUAAAAUCCGAUAAACAAAUAUUCACUACCGGAAAUUUCGUAUUUCAAAUUUCAGUUAGUAUACCGGAAAUUUCACCAAUAAAUUUUUGGCAAAGUAUUUAUAAUACCAGAAAUUUGGGCAAUGAAAUUUCCGGUAAUUACAUUUUCCUUAUCGGAAAUUUCAAAUUUUUGAAAUAUCUGGUAGUUACAUUUAUCUUAUCGGAUUAAUAAAAUAAAAUAUAUUAAAAAAAUACAUCAAAUAGUUGACUAAAUGUGCCAAAAUAAAUAACGUGUCCCUAAUAUUUUGCCGAUAAAAUAACAACAUAUUUUCUUAACAUCUCUCUUCUAUUUUUCCUGCGAAUAUUUUAUAAAAUAAAAACUUGUUUUCUUAAAAACUCCCUCCUAUUUUUAUUCCAAUCUAAUAAGUAAAUAAAAUUAAAUAAUAAUAAUAAUAAAAUAGUGUUAAUGUAAUUCAAAAAUAAUAAUAAAAAUAUUUAAAAAAUAUAAAAUUUUAAUAAUAUAAUUUAAUUUAUUCUUUAAUUUAUUAAUAAUAUUUUGUUUUUUAAAAUAUUACAUUUAUUUUUUGUUUUAUUAAAUAAACAAUUUUGUAAUUGUAAAAAAUGAGAUGAAACAAAAUUUAGAAGUUUAAUACAUGGUCGCAUACUUGGGAAAUUUCAAAUUUCCGGUAGUUAUAAAUCAAUAUUGGAAAUUUCAUUAUUGAAAUUUUCGGUAUUGAAAACCAAUACAAGAUAUUUCAAAUUUCCGGGUGGUACUCCCAGAAAUUUCAAAAAUAAAAUUUCCAGUGUUGAUUUAUAACUAUCGAAAAUUUCAUUAAUUUUGAAAUUUCAAGUAAAAAAAAAUUCAACAGCACUCACUUUUCCGAAAAACACAACUUGUAAGGGUAUGAAGAAACUGUUUGAUUUUUACAGUUUUAUUAAGAAUAUUUUGGAUAUUUCAAACAUAAAUUUUUUAAAUGAAGGAGUAUAGAGUUAAUUGAAGGGGGUACAAAAAGCAUUUUUUCCUUUUUUUUUUCUUAUGUGGGUGGCUCCAUUUUUUGUUGGUCUCAUGUGGGUGGCCUCCCUGUUUUUUUUUUGGUUUUAUGUGGGUGGCCCUUUUUGAAUAGAAAAAAUAACAAAAGGUUCUUUUGAAUUAUAGUGAAGAUGGCAUAACAAUCAACAACGUAAUCAUUGUUACUAUAAGAAAAAUAUUUAGGAACAUUUAUUUAAGUGUUUUCCGCAUGUUUGUUAAUCUAAAAUAUCAUUUUUGUGAUUAUAAUAAUUUUUAAGAAACUUAUAGAAUUAAAAAUAUUGUAAUCAAUUAAGGUAAGAACUAUAAGAAAACACACUUUAAUAUAUCAAACACUUAUGUAACCAUAAUUUAAAUACACUUAUUUUUACUUAUAUAUUUUUCAAGGAUUUUUGUACUUGAAAACAUGUACAACAUUUUUAAAGAACUAACAACACAUGGCAAUAUACUUUAUUUCUUGGUGUAAUUACUUGAAUAAAAAUAGAUCAUUAUUUAGGAUCUAUUAGUCAAACCCUCAGUUAGUUAUUUCACUCGACAAUAGUCUGUAGGAUUAAUUUUUAGUAUAUUACAUGUAUUGAUUUUCUAUAAUUUGCAAUAUUUUGUUUAAGUAAUUUAAUUAUGUAAUUAUGCAUCUGUGAAAAAUUAAUUUAGUGGAACUAAUUCAAACGGCAUUUAAUGUGAAAAUAACUAAAAUUAAAUAUUAAUUAAGAAUUAUUAAAUAAAGUAAAUGAUAAAAGUUAUUCUUAAAAUAAGUUGAUCUCCAUCUUAUAUACGCGUGUCUGUAUAUAUAUAUAUAUAUAUAUAUAUAUAUUUAUAUUUUUUAUGUAACUAUAAACAGAACACUUAUAGCAUAUGUGAUAUGUCUGUUAUCACUAUCUAUAAAUAGAAAUCUAAAAUAUUGCAAACCCAAAAAGAGAAUCGAUGGUUGUAUACGCAAUUGGAGCAAUUGUGAUUUUCUUUGUCCUCAUCCAUUCACCAAAUAACAACCGCCACCACCACCGCCUCUUGCUCCACCGUGAUGAAAACCAAGAAUCGAACACUAACCAUUCACACACAUCUGAAGAGUGGGAUGAAAACUUAAAUGUAACUGACACGAUUGUCCGUAUAUUCCCUGACAUCGAUGUGGACCCCACAGAUCAGUAUGUGGACCUCCACGAGUUAACUGAAUGGAACUUCGAGCAAGUUCAAAGAGAAGUAUUGCAUCGAAGUCAGAGAGAAAUGAACAUUCACGACAAGAACCACGACGGUUAUCUUUCCUUCUCCGAAUACGGUCCUCCAGCGCCAGGUCCUCCUCUUUCAACUUUCACUCUAC
rnacentral:lncRNA from 1 species